rnacentral:lncRNA from 1 species
GUUAACGCCAGGAUCUUUCUUCACGUCCCAAUCACUAAAGACGUCCUGAUCCUGCACAAUAAACACAACAAACACCACAAGCUUGACGGCCGGACCGCCGGGGGAUAGCUCAGGCGUGAGAGUAAGUAUGUCUGUUCACGAGGUUAACUCAAGAGAAUGAUAAAAUCUAGUGUGAUGAGAUAGAUUAUUUAUUAUCAGUUGU